rnacentral:lncRNA from 1 species
GGUCGCUAUUUGCGGACGUGGAAAAUGGAGCUAAAGCAAAAACUUGUUCGUCGCUACCGGGCUUGCAGUUCCCAAUAGGGCAGAGUCCGUCAUCUUUUUCGAAAGGGCAAUUAUUUUGAGCCGGUCGGAGCCGGUGCGCCAGUGUACUUACAAUACCUGGCCGCCGAGAUCUUAGAACUGGUGGGCAGCGCCAUACGUGACAAGACCCGCAGCAUCAUCCCCCGCCACCUGCAGCUGGCCAUCCGAAACGACGAGGAGGUCAACAAGCAGCUGGGCAACGUCACUAUUGCUCAGGGAGGCGUCCUGUCCAAUAUUCAGGCCGUCCUGUUGCCAAAAUAACAGAGCCACGAUAAGGCCAAGGUCAAGUAA